GGAGUCUGGGCCGUAUCUCAGUCCCAAUGUGUCCGUUCACCCUCUCAGGCCGGAUACCCGUCAUCGCCUUGGUGGGCCUUUUCCCCGCCAACAAGCUGAUGGGCCGCGGGCCGUUCCCCCUGCGGAGCCGUAGCUCCUUUCAUGUACUCCCUUCCAGAAGCACAUCUCAUCCGGUAUUACCCUGUGUUUCCACAGGCUGUCCCCGUCAGGAGGGUGCGUUACCCACGUGUUACUCACCAGUCCGCCGCUCUCCAGUGUAGCAAGCUACACCUUCCCGCUCGACUUGCAUGCUUAAGACGCGCCGCCAGCGUUCGUU
rnacentral:rRNA from 1 species